CCUACGGGCGGCAGCAGUGGGGAAUAUUGGGCAAUGGGCGCAAGCCUGACCCAGCAAUGCCGCGUGAAGGCAGCAGGCUUUCGGGUUGUAAACUUCUUUGACAGGGGAAGAGCAGAAGACGGUACCCUGAAAACAAGCCACGGCUAACUACGUGCCAGCAGCCGCGGUAAUACGUAGGUGGCAAGCGUUGUCCGGAUUUACUGGGUGUAAAGGGCGUGUAGCCGGGAAGGCAAGUCAGAUGUGAAAUCUGGAGGCUCAACCUCCAAAUUGCAUUUGAAACUGUUUUUCUUGAGUACUGGAGAGGCAGACGGAAUUCCUUGUGUAGCGGUGAAAUGCGUAGAUAUAAGGAGGAACACCAGUGGCGAAGGCGGUCUGCUGGACAGCAACUGACGGUGAGGCGCGAAAGCGUGGGGAGCAAACAGGAUUAGAUACCCCAGUAGUC
rnacentral:rRNA from 1 species